rnacentral:rRNA from 1 species
GAUGAACGCUGGCGGCGUGCCUAAUACAUGCAAGUCGAGCGAACGGACGAGAAGCUUGCUUCGCUGAUGUUAGCGGCGGACGGGUGAGUAACACGUGGAUAACCUACCUAUAAGACUGGGAUAACUUCGGGAAACCGGAGCUAAUACCGGAUAAUAUUUUGAACCGCAUGGUGCAAAAGUGAAAGACGGUCUUGGUGUAACUUAUAGAUGGAUCCGCGCUGCAUUAGCUAGUUGGUAAGGUAACGGCUUACCAAGGCAACGAUGCAUAGCCGACCUGAGAGGCUGAUCGCCCGCCCUGGAGCUGAGACACGCUCCAGACUCCUACGGGAGGCAGCAGUAUGGUAUCUUCCGCAAUGGUCGAAAGCCUUACGGAGCAACGCCGCGUGUGUGAUGAAGGUCUUCGGAUCGUAAAACUCUCUUAUUAGGUAAGAACAUAUGUGUCAUUAACUGUACCCAUCUUGACGGUACCUAAUCAGAAAGCCACGGCUAACUACGUG